CAUUAAUUUCUGUCCGAAAUUUCUUAUCUGUUCAGCAUUCAUUACUGUCAUGACUUUGGAGUUUUCCACCAUUCCUCACAGCUUCUUUGAUAAUCAUACUUCAUUCUUGAAGUCAUACUGUUGGACGAGAACUGUCUACAGGAAAUCUAGCCCAGUAUGACCCUUUGGUCUCACAAUGUCAUGUUGGAAUAGCCUUGAUUAUUUUUUAAAAAUAAAAAUGAUGCAAUCAUGAAAUGUUAGAGCUAAAAGGAACUUUAGAAGUAAUUUAAUAUGAUUUUCAUUUUAUGAGUGAAGCCACCUGCUGCUCUGAGUCACACGCCGGGUGACCGGCCGAUCCAGGAUCAAAACUCAGACCCGCGUAUUCGGCAGCUUGUUCUAAAGACCAUCGAAGAAAAUGAUGAUCUCCAUUGGUUGCAUCUGUAUUUUUGGAUUGAACACUUACUUACGUUCAUAAUUGUAUUGCCGGUCGUUUGUAUUCUUUGGGGAAUGAUUCCACAUGGAUUUGAUGUCUCUAGUUCUCUGUCUCUCUCUGCCUGCUUCAUUCUCUCGGUUUCCUCUUGAGGAUUCUACUUCUCAAGCUGAACAUCUUUUAUGUUGAUGAGUCUUGGUGGUGCAGCUUUAUUGGCACAGGGUCCAGAGACUAAUCCAUAAAACACAGUUUAAAAAGCCUCUAAAGUGUGAAAUAUUAGCUUGUCAUUUUUUUCUCAAGUUUUCUCUUUUGACAAGCUUCGUUGAAUUUUCUUUUUCUUUUUUUCAUAUGUGUUCUGCCAUCCUAAUUCUGAAAGAAUUUAUAGAUAUAUCAUUUGGGAAAAGAUGUAUUUUAACUGACAACAUAAAUAUCUUGGUUUCGCAGUUAUCUGGUCAAAGAUUUUAAAUUGCAAACCGUGAAAAUUCGUUCUUUACAAUAUAGCAUAAAUUACAUUUAGUGCUUUCAGUAAAAACAUUUCAGUAAAAUUUUGACACGAACAGUGUCACAUUAAAAAAAAAAUCUCAAUGUCAGCUCAUAUGCUCAUGAAAUAUUUAAUAGAAACAUUGCAGGUUAAUUUUGUCUUCUUUAAUAAUAAAAUAUAAGUUUGCAAAGAGUUUUGACUCAGCUUACUCAUUGUCUUGCAAUUACUAAUACAAAUGAGAAUUUUUAAUGAGAUAAGAAUUUCAUUUCUCCGUGUAAAACAACAACGAAGUGCAGAGAUUUAAUGCUUACCUUUACUCUCAGGGGCACCUCAUUUUCUCCACUGUAGUAGAUCUUAAUUCCAGAUGUUAGCACACGACAUUCGUGUAGUGUUCCAAUCACAUGUCUGUUUGUUUAAUAUUCGCUCUGUGACCUGACGCGCUCUGUAGUAUCAUGAUUUCUCGGUUAUGCAGAUUUUGUUGCUGUUAUUGACUUCUUAUUUGCAGUCUUCCAUCUGUGUUAAACUAAAGACAUAUGUUGUGUUGUCACCUGUCAAAUCCCUUAUGAAUAGUCUGUACUUUACUUAAAUUGUAUUGUGAUUUUAGACCUUUAUGAACAGAGCUUCAUAAAAUUAAGUAAGAUAGUUUGUUGUGUAUACAGAUAUGUUCAUGAACCAUCGCUAUAAUGAUGAAAAUAUUGAUUGUUGGAACAAUUAAGACAUUAAGAAAACACAUAUUUAAAUGUGGCUAAUGUCUGAAAAUUUGUGAGUUGUUUAUCUCUUAGAAAUUUGUGAUAAAUCUAAAAGAUAACUAAGGAUUUCACUAUAUUGAAAAAUUUAUAGAUAUGUAUUUAUUUAACCCAGUUUUAAUUAUAUAAUUAUUGUAUGAUUUAAGCCUCAUUGAUCUUAUGUGUGUGAUCAGUAUAUUGAAAUGUAAAGCAUUCUAAAUACUAGCACAGGAUAUUUUUUCUUCAUGAGAAGAAAUAGAAGGAAUUAGACUAGCCAGAGCCUUUUUAGUCUUGCAAAGCAAAACUCAUGAAUGAAACGUGCAGCUUCUCUGGGCCUCAGUUUCCACAUCUGUAAAAUGGGGGGUGAGGCUUUGGGAAGGAAGGGUUAGGUCAGCUGCUCUCUGAGAUCUCUUCCACCCUAAAAUUCAAUGAUGAUAUGAUUUGUUUUUUGCAGUAGUGUUAUGCUUAUCAAUGUAAAUUGUAUGUCUUGUCUAAUGUAAACAUAAGUGUAAUAAAAGCUAAGGAUGAAAA